rnacentral:rRNA from 1 species
GACAGAGGGUGCAAACGUUGUUCGGAAUUAUUGGGCGUAAAGAGCGUGUAGGCGGUCAGGUAGGUCUGCUGUGAAAACUCGAGGCUUAACCUCGAGCUGUCGGCGGAAACCAUCUGGCUAGAGUCCGGAAGAGGAGAAUGGAAUUCCCGGUGUAGCGGUGAAAUGCGCAGAUAUCGGGAAGAACACCCGUGGCGAAGGCGGUUCUCUGGGACGGUACUGACGCUGAGACGCGAAAGCGUGGGGAGCGAACAGG